rnacentral:rRNA from 1 species
AUGGAGCAUCCUUACUCGAUUGCGUUCUUCUGUUUUACAGGUGAUGUUGUUGCCUGCUCUUCUAAACUGCCGCUUGUUUAUCGUUUGCUGUUUUGCGUAUCAAGGAGGGUAACUACUGGAAGCAGUUGGCAAGACAAGCAGUCAAUGGAUCUCAAAGCGUUGAUCCUGAAGGAAGGUAACUACUCAAAGGUAUGCACAUAUUCAUGUUGGAGAAGUUAA